rnacentral:rRNA from 1 species
AUGAACGCUGGCGGCGUGCCUAAUACCUGCCAGUCGAGCGCACGGACGAGAAGCUUGCUUCUCUGAUGUUAGCGGCGGACGGGUGAGUAACACGUGGAUAACCUACCUAUAAGACUGGGAUAACUUCGGGAAACCGGAGCUAAUACCGGAUAAUAUUUUGAACCGCAUGGUUCAAAAGUGAAAGACGGUCUCGCUGUCACUUAUAGAUGGAUCCGCGCUGCAUUAGCUAGUUGGUAAGGUAACGGCUUACCAAGGCAACGAUGCAUAGCCGACCUGAGAGGGUGAUCGGCCACACUGGAACUGAGACACGGUCCAGACUCCUACGGGAGGCAGCAGUAGGGAAUCUUCCGCAAUGGGCGAAAGCCUGACGGAGCAACGCCGCGUGAGUGAUGAAGGUCUUCGGAUCGUAAAACUCUGUUAUUAGGGAAGAACAUAUGUGUAAGUAACUGUGCACAUCUUGACGGUACCUAAUCAGAAAGCCACGGCUAACUACGUG